CAAAUAAACAAGUGCUGAGCAUGUGC
rnacentral:piRNA from 1 species